UGCCACAAAUUACCAUCAAUCAGAUCAAAAAGCCAGGUCUAUGUUAGUAGACCAUGCCUCUUCCAGUAAAAUCAUUAUGAAUCUUCUUUCGAUAAUACCAACAUUCUCUCUUCCAAGCUUGCUCAUUCACCUUUCAUUUCCCAUCUAUGUUCUUCAACUUCCUUUUCCAACUUUUUAGACAUCUAAAAUUUUAUGUUUGUGCAUGGAUCGAGGACGUUCGACAAAUUGUGUGUUUCGGCUCUAUUUAAGUUGUUCAUUCUACAAAAUGGAAAAGGUUCUUUGUUUUGGUUCAUAAUAUUUUUUAGCAUUUCUUUUACCCAUAUACUUAUCAGUUAUACACAUUAAUUUAUUCUGUUAAAAGAUCUUUUUACUUUAGUCAUGACUCUUGAUAUGAUAUGCAGGAAAAAUAUUUUUUCUAAAUGCAAAUAUGGAUACAAGUUCUUAUGCUUCUGUGAGCUUUGAUUUUUCUGUUUUUUUAUCUAAUAUAAUUUUUUUUUUCAUAUGAAACAAAACGUAAGGCUUACUUUUGUUAUUCUAUAAUUUUUUUUUUCGGGUUAAUAUGCUCACUAGCAUAAUUUUGUGGGAACGUUUCCCCUAAAUUUGAUGAAACUUACAAUUGCUGGUUGUUCAAAUAAGAUUUAUGAUAAUUUUUUUCAUUUUGAAAAUAUAUUAGCACUGUUGUUGUUUUGUCAACACGUUAAUUGGGAUACAAAUUCUUAUACCCAUGUACUUAUAAUUUACUUGAUAUUGGUGUAUGUACUCCAAACCUUUUGCAUGAUCUUUUUGUUAUCUUGGAAAUUUUACAGCUGCAUCAAAGUUCGUCUCAUUUAAUCAAAGGUAGACGGUUUGACAACUUUUCUUUUUUUUUUUUGGUCGUGUGCUGUUAAUUUUUUGUUGGUGUCUUCUCAUUUGCAGUUGAUGAACCCUUUUCACUUCUUAUGUUGUUUCUAUAAAAUAGGUACUAUUUAACUGGUUCAUGGAAGCAACAUAUGUUCGCUAAAAUAUUAGCUGAGGUGGUUUUGACAUGGAAGAAAACGUUACACAUCAUAAUAAAUUACAUGAUAAUACGAUUUUGUGUUUCAGCUCGGGUUAAAAUUUACUAAUCUAAUUGAACUGUGAAAUUUAUAUUCUUUUAAGUAAUGCUACAAAUAAACAGGAACUUACAAUUGUUAGUUAUGUGCACUUUUCAAAUAAAUAACAAAUCCCGUAUGGAAGUAUCAUAUUGAAAGUCUUCCGUGUUGUAAAGCUUAAAUGUGUUGUCACAUUCACUCUUAUUUAUUGUAUAUAUUCAUAAAGAUGUGAUCAUGAGAACUCAAUUGAGCUUUAUAUCAAGAUGGAGACAUCUUGUAUGUAAUGUUAUGGAUGCAUGUGAACAACUUCAAAAAUAAUUCGAACAUAAUCAUUUGGAGGGAUUGUUGGUUCCUUGUGUCUUGAUGGAGAAAAUGACUUUGCGGUGACGAUCCAAAAAAGUCUGAGCCUUGUUCGUUUAUUGGUAGACCAAGAGAAAUGAGAUUUUGGUUGUGCUACUCUCACCAACCAAGUUCUUUAGCUUGAUUAUUUGUUAAUUUUAAUCGCUGUACUUUUGUUAGUUUGUAUGCAUUGCUGUGUAAUUAUUAUCAGACAGUUUGCACUUUUGUACUAUCUCCGCCAUAUGGAAAUGUAUGACAAUAUCUUAAAAAGACUUUAAUGUAAUAUGCAAUCUUAUAAAUGAUUGCAUUCUUUA